UAAAAAACAAAAAAAAACGUGAAAAUUAUUGAACUUACAAAUGCCAUUAAACAGUGAAAACACGUGACAUUAUGAGGAGCCCAGCACCACAGCUUUGCCCACAGGCCGCCGGUGAAAACCCAGAGAGCUUUGACACUAUGAUGAAUGACCGCACAAAUGCGGAAGCGACCGCAAAAUAGAGCAAUGAAUAAAUAACAGUGUGUAUUAAAGCCAGUUAUUGCCUACUGCACUUUACCCGUACCCAAAAACACGAAUUAUAAGCUCCUCAACUGUACCUGCAUUGAUGAACUUUAGACUCGUCAACAAUAGCUAAGCAAAUAAGAAUGACAACUUAGCGGACUUUAUCGAUCGAGGCGCACACACUGCGCUCUCUUCCGCAUUGAAGCGGCGCUUACUGACGGACGCGGCGCAAAGCCCAUCUCACGGUGAUCUUUAUAAAUUAUUAGCGCGGCAUGCUGCCGCAGAGGACGGGACGGAACGGUCCCGGAAAACGCCGCAGAUCUGUAAAUGAUGUCACUGCUAGCGCGCAGCGGCUUUGACCCAUCCACGUUGUUUGGAAACCAGACGUUACGCGCGGCGUCGCCCUUAGUCGCAAUACGCAAACGGGAACUUAACGUCAUUCAGAGCCACGGUUGUCGCCCCCACUCGGUCAGGAGGGAAACUACAAGUAAACGCAGAGCAACAUAUCAUUGGUUUAGACUCAAACUGACCAUGAAAGCGCCGCAGCCUCAGAAGCCCUGUUGGUGUAGAAUGAAGAAAACGAGGCCUGUCAGCAGAGAGGAAGCAAUGUCUGAAACAGUGGAUGUGGAAGAGAGACAGCAAAAGUCCAGAUUCAGCUUUGACACUGUCCUACAAUGCACCCUCAUCCUUGUGAAAGUGGCUCUGUGGAUCAUCUCGAUAUGGAUCUUGUCGUACCUCCACAUGGGGGCCUCGUGCUUCCUCCUUUCACUGGCCGUCUGGAUGUAUUCAGUGCCAAUGGAGCAUGUUUUGAAGUGGUCUAAGAGGCGCUUGCUUAGGAAAAGGCAUGUGAACAUAUAA
rnacentral:lncRNA from 1 species